rnacentral:rRNA from 1 species
AUGAUGUGGGUUAUUCAGGUUAUUAUGAGAAAUUAUUUGACUGGUCAUUGUAAGCUGUCAAAUCCAGUGGGUAAACAGAUGGCUAGGCUUCCUUUAGAUCCAAUGUACUCCAAGGCAUUGAUAGUGUCUACCAAAUUCAAGUGUUUGGACGGAAUGUUGAUUGAUGUUAGUAGCUACACUUGUCUGCAAUGA